rnacentral:misc_RNA from 1 species
CUGGGCGUGUCUUUCUUCUCUGCAGGCAGCCACGCUCAUCUUCCUGGCCGCGCUCAUCUUCCUGCUGCUCCAGCGCGCCCAGCUCCCAGCUCGGAUCCCUGCCUCAACUCGCCUCCCUCACGGCGCCCUCCCUCCGUUCCUUCUCCUCCAUGGCCGUCGGUCCUCCCCGCGCUGCUCUCUGUCUCUCUCCUAGCCGCGGUCGGCUCUGGCCCAGGUCCGAUCGGUGCUCCUCCCUGCUGUAGCGCCGGUCCCAGCUCGGAUCCCUCCCAGCCGCGGCUCUCCGGUGUUUGGCCCUGGUCCAAGCUCCUGCUCGUCCAGCCCCCUUCCCAGGCGCCCCUGGCUGAGCUCCCCCAUGGCGUCUCCCCCAUCCAUGGCUGUGUCGUUCCCCUGCUCUGGUGGCUGAGCUAUCUCUCUUGUGCUCGACGAAACGACCAUGAGGAGUUUUGUGUUGUGUGCAGCCCCAUAUGCGACACCGUCGAACCCCGGAUGUGA